rnacentral:rRNA from 1 species
GACGAACGCUGGCGGCGUGCUUAACACAUGCGAGUCGAACGGAAAGGCCCUGCUUUUGUGGGGUGCUCGAGUGGCGAACGGGUGAGUAACACGUGAGUAACCUGCCCUUUACUUUGGGAUAACUUCAGUAAACUGGGUCUAAUACCGGAUAGGAGCUCCUGCUGCAUGGUGGGGGUUGGAAAGUUUCGGCGGUUGGGGAUGGACUCGCGGCUUAUCAGCUUGUUGGUGGGGUAGUGGCUUACCAAGGCUUUGACGGGUAGCCGGCCUGAGAGGGUGACCGGCCACAUUGGGACUGAGAUACGGCCCAGACUCCUACGGGAGGCAGCAGUGGGGAAUAUUGCACAAUGGGCGGAAGCCUGAUGCAGAAACGCCGCGUGCGGGAUGACGGCCUUCGGGUUGUAAACCGCUUUCGCCUGUGACGAAGCGUGAGUGACGGUAAUGGGUAAAGAAGCACCGGCUAACUACGUG